UGCAACUCCACAUAUGGCGGCGAGAAAUUGAAAGGCAUUCACCACAAUGAAGAGGUCAUUUUUAUGAUGGCGAUAGUGUCAUUCAAUUUCAACAUGAAUCCUCUUCUUAGAUUCUUCACAAUCAAAUCGUCGAUUUAUUCUUCUCAAGCAAAAGGACAUGGUGCAAGGCCUUCCUGAGUUACAUACUGAGAUGGAUACAUGUGAAAGUUGUAUAAUGGAAAAGCAACACAUGAAGUCUUUUCCAAAAGGUGUGUCUUGGAGAGCAAGUUUAUUUUUGGAACUAAUUCAUACCGACAUUUGUGGACCAAUGAAGACUCCAUCUCUUGGAAGUCAAAGGUAUUUUCUAAUCUUUAUUGAUGAUUUCUCAAGAAUGACUUGAAUUUAUUUCUUGAAAGAAAAUUCAGAAGCAUUUGCUACAUUCAAGAAAUUUAAAGCCCUUAUUGAGAAGCAAAAAGGUUGCAGCAUCAAAAUCAUUCGCAGUGAUCGAGGAGGUGAGUACACAAGUCGAGAAUUUUAAGAAUAUUGCAAAAAUAAAGGCAUUCAGAAGCAACUUAAAGCAGGGUAUACUCCUCAACAAAAUGGUGUAUCUGAAAGAAGAAAUAGAACAAUUGUUGAAAUGGCCAGAACUAUGAUGAAUGAGAAAGGGCUACCAAAAUAUUUUUGGGCAGAAGCAAUGCAUAAAGCAGUUCACAUCCUUAACAGGUGUCCAACAAAGGCACUAAAGGACAAGACACCAGUUGAAGCUUGGAGUGGAAUUAAACCUUCUGUAAGUCAUUUUAAAAUUUUUGGGUGUAUUUGUUAUGCUCAUGUACCUGCUGAGAAAAGAACAAAAUUGGAUGAAAAAAAGUCAAAAAUGUGUUUUUCUUGGUUAUAGUGAUGUGACAAAAGCAUAUAGGCUUCUCGAUGUCAAAACUAACAAACUUGUUGUUAGUAGAGAUGUUAUUUUUGAUGAAAAAACAACAUGGAAUUGGGAGGAUAAAAAGAUAGAGAAUAUUGCUAUCAUAUCUUCAAAUCAAGAAGAGGAUGAGAAAGAUGAAGAUGUCUCUCAAGGGGGAGAAAUCCCAGAUUCAGAUAAUGAAGAACCGCCUCCAA